rnacentral:rRNA from 1 species
UACGAAGGGGGCUAGCGUUGCUCGGAAUUACUGGGCGUAAAGGGCGCGUAGGCGGACAGUUUAGUCAGAGGUGAAAGCCCAGGGCUCAACCUUGGAAUUGCCUUUGAUACUGGCUGUCUUGAGUACGGGAGAGGUGAGUGGAACUCCGAGUGUAGAGGUGAAAUUCGUAGAUAUUCGGAAGAACACCAGUGGCGAAGGCGACUCACUGGCCCGGUACUGACGCUGAGGCGCGAAAGCGUGGGGAGCAAACGGG